ACUAUGCCGUACUUCCUUCCAGUUCUCUUCACAUUGGCUGUCUUCUCUUCCCGAAGCCUCUCCCAGAUAGUCCUGACCCAGUCAGAUCCAGUGCUGAAAAAAACAGGAGAAGCCCAUAAACUGACGUGUGUUGUCACUGGAUUUAAUGUUAACAGCUACUGGAUGGGUUGGAUCAGACAGAAACCUGGCCAAGGACUGGAAUGGCUUGUUUGGUACUAUGACCCUAGGAAUACCAUCUAUUAUUCAACAACAAUCCAAGGACGCUUUACUCCCUCCAAGGACAGUUCCAAUUUCUAUCUGCAAAUGAACAACCUGAAAACUGAAGACACGGCUGUGUAUUAUUGUGCAAGAGACACAGUGAAAGGAGUCCUAGGAGAACUCAUGCAAAAACCCUUUCUUUAAUGACUGA